UGUAAUAAUAAAUCUCAUGGAGGGACCGUUUUUGUUUAAUGGCCCAAAGUUAAAAGAAAUUAGGGCUUUUUGUGCCCGUUUCCUUUUGUUGAUCGGGCAAAGGAAAGGAACGAGAACGAACGAAGGCAGGCGAUCAUGCGCCCCCGGUGCUGGCUCGAUUCGGGGAAAGAGAAAAUUGGAAACGGAAGGGGGUGGUCUCGGUGGUGGUAAGCGAUCGAAUUGAGGGAUCUUUUCCGGUGUUUGGCCGAACCGAAGAAGGGGAAGAGACGAAAGCAGCGAGGCUCUCUCUUUCUUGUCCGACUGCGAGGUGCGAAGGAAGAAGGAGGCCGAAGGGAGUCCGGUAUGGUGUCGCGAGCAACAGCAGCAACGAAGACGAGGUCUUCAGAGGUCGUUGAUUCGAUAGGGACAAAAGAGAGAAUGCGAAGGGAGGAGAUCAGAAGAAGGUUCUAGUGGAGGUAGGCAGCAGCGAGGGUCAAUGGGAAAGUAAGGGAAAACGCGUCGGAGCUAGUAUUCGUCGAUGGUGGAACAUAUAAAGAAGAAAUAAUCAGUGGGUGUUUGGCUGUGGUUUUGAUGGGGAGAACGAAGAAGAAGACGGGUGAAGUAAAAGAGGCAUCUGCCUCCUGUUGACUUUCUCGAAGACAGCCUCUCCUUGAGGCUGUUUUACUUCUUGAUGGCAACAGCAAAAAUCAAAUGGAAGGAAGGUGUUUGGAGCUCGUUUAUCUCGUCACUAGCAGGUGGAAAGAAGCUGGAAUGAAAGGGGCAACAGCCUCCCUUUUGGGUUCUCGGUUUAUGAUUCCAAGAGGAGAAUGGAGAGAGAUGGAAGGCGAUGGAUGUUUUUUUUUUUAUUGAGUGUGUUUUCUUUGAUUGAGUUUACUAGUUAAACUAGAUUAUCACCAGAUUAUGACCCGCGUUAAACGCGGGGAAGACAUAAAUAAAAUAUAAAUUUAUAUAGAUAUUACAAAAUAAUUAUAAAAAAAGUAGGAUUAUUGGUA